rnacentral:misc_RNA from 1 species
UCUCCGGCUUCCCAGGUUUGCUUCAGGCUCCCUCAGCAUCAGCAACAUCACGACGGUCCAGCGUAAAAACUCAAGCUCAAAAAGAAAAUGAUGAAUAAGAAUAAUGGUUGUAGAACUGUAAGAUAGAAAAUCUCUUUUUGGUUGUUGGUGUUUCACGUUUGUAGCUGGGGCUUACGAUGCCUUUACGUUGGAAAAGGCAUCACCCAUGAGGUGUUUGCUUUUUUUGUUUGAGAGGAAUAGAAAUUUGAUAAUGUAUGUAAAUAAUAAAAAGCAAACACCUCAUGGGUGAUGCCU